AAAAAAAAAAAAAAAGAAGAAAUGAAAAAGGUUCUCUAGUAUAACAAUGCUUGAUUUUUGGGGAAGAUGUUUGAAUAAAUAUCCAAUCAUGUGAAUAGGUGAUCUUUAGAACUCCAAGUUUUUCUGCUUACCAUCCAAAAAUUAUCCACCCUAAAAUUAACCUAAGCCCCGUUAUAACCCUCAAGUCCUCUAAAGGUGUGAAUUUUUAUGCAUGUCGAUCGAUUGUUAGAAUGUUUGCAAGCAUAUGGUAGAAUGGCUAUGUCUGUGUUGAUUGAGUGAAUUUAACAAUGCAAACAGGAGAGAAUGUGAGGGAGUGAAGUGACUAUUGUUUGGUCAAUAUUUGUGAGAAGUUCUUGAUUUUUCCAAUGUUCAUUUGUGUGCGAGUACANNN
rnacentral:lncRNA from 1 species